rnacentral:rRNA from 1 species
AACGAACGCUGGCGGCAGGCUUAACACAUGCAAGUCGAACGCCCCGCAAGGGGAGUGGCAGACGGGUGAGUAACGCGUGGGAAUCUACCGUACCCUACGGAAUAACGCAUGGAAACGUGUGCUAAUACCGUAUACGCCCUACGGGGGAAAGAUUUAUCGGGGUAUGAUGAGCCCGCGUUGGAUUAGCUAGUUGGUGGGGU